UACGUAGGCAGCAAGCGUUGUUCGGAAUUACUGGGCGUAAAGAGUGUGUAGGCGGUGCUCUAAGUUUGGUGUGAAAUCUCCCGGCUCAACUGGGAGGGUGCGCCGAAAACUGGAAUGCUUGAACAUGGGAGAGGAAAGCGGAAUUCCUGGUGUAGCGGUGAAAUGCGUAGAUAUCAGGAGGAACACCUGCGGUGUGGACGGCUUUCUGGACCAUUGUUGACGCUGAGACGCGAAAGCGUGGGUAGCAAACAGG
rnacentral:rRNA from 1 species